GGCUGUUGUAUUUGAGUGUGUCCUUUCUUGUUGUAGCCUAGGAUUUUGCUGCUCUGCUAUCAUUGUUAUGUUUUAUAUCACGUUACAGCUCUGAACUCUCAUUUUAAGAAUUUUAAUGCUCGGCCCACCAGCACAGGUGAAGGGCAUAUGGUUUGGAGACUCCUUGCAGGUGUUGUGACACAUACAUAGUACAUUUGGGGCAGACUCUCUUAUGGCUACUUUCAAGGGGAAAAAAAAACCUGCAAAGAAGAGAUGAAGAUAGUGGUAGCAAAAGCAAGCUGAAACUGAAGGAACAUAAAAGGCACAUUGCUUCAUGAACUUGCAGGAGAAACUUCAAAUGAAGAAAACAAAUCAGGCUGGAGACUCCUCAAAACAAAAAAAUUUCCUACCAGAUUUUCACUCAUGGUUGUAGUAAAUACAAGUGACAUGUUUCAUGUCAGUGAAACAGCUGAACUUAGUCUCUAGUACUUUGAUGACUUUUGAUGCUUUUUGACCUUGAGAAACAGACAUGGGAACUUGAAGACCAAUGGGAUCAGUGUGCCUGUUUGAAGGUUAUGCUAUGGAUGCUGCCAAUAUCUCUGCUUACAGAGGCAUUUUUCAGACAUGACUAAGAAAGAAAAUGAGCUUGCCUCGAGCUCUCACUGAUGGACUACAAAAACUUAAUCUUGAAGAGGAAAUUCCUUCAAUUUGCUCAUUUGGCAGAUAGUAGCAUGCUUUUUUUAUUUACUUUGCUUAGUGCCAGGGCAGAGGAUUGUAACUUGAUGUAAUGUGGGUUCAGUGGUAUGUUGAUGGGUAAUAGUAUAAGGUAGUUUCCUGCUCCCACUUUAUCCUACUGCAAUUUGCAUGGCUGGUGGGUUUCAGCAGUUUCAAGCUAAUAUGAGGAGGCUGGGGUAGAAGGGAUGUGAGCUGAAGGACCAUCAGGGGCUCUUAUAGAGAUGGAGAAGUUAUUAAAUAGGAGCAUUCUCUGAAAGAAGUGAUCAAAAAGGGUCAUGAAGGGGGAUAUGCAUACUAUGCAAUCUAAGAAAGAAGUAGAAAAAGUGGAUAUAACUUAAGCAUUUUGAGCUAUGCAGAUCCAACUCUUGUUAAAUCAGAAAUGCAGGCUAAAUUGGUCCAUAGCAUAAUAGUUCAAUCCAAUUUCUCUCUACUGAAUUUUGCCUUUAAGAAUGACUAUAGGAAGACUUUAUUUUGUUCAGUAAAGAAACAAGGAGGGAAACUCUUGAUUGUUUUAUAUUGUGUGUGUUUUGGAGGUGUGAGCUUCCUGAAGGAACAAUGUUUCUUCCUGGACUGUGACAUUAAAAAUAAACAAAAAACCCCACCUAACUUAUUUUCACUUGCAUUCCUGAAAAACUGAGUGCAUUUUGUAGAGGACUUAGGUUUGUUUGGAUAACUGAUGUCAGCAUAGUUUAAAAACUAAAACAUAAUAGUCAUAGCUCUAAAAAACACAUCACAGCAGAGCACAAUAGAAAAGGGAACUAAUCUAGCUCAUGCAGGAAUGAGAAUUAUCUUUAGUCCAAUAUUGCUUAGGAGGAAUAGCUACUGUUUGUAACCUUAAUUAUUCACAGCUAAGUUACUCUACCUUAAAUUUAAGGGAAAUUCAGACUGUUCUCUGAGAGUAUAGUCAUUUGGUGCAAUCCAAGCGCCACCAAGGCUGCCCUGAGAGAUCUCUGUUGUAUCCAUCAGGACUCCUGAUUAUUUCUGAAAUGAAAGAUUUCAC